UCUUACCUGUGUCACUUGACUGUUUGCCUGACUUCUAACAAACUACAAGUGUACUGCCUCCUAGGUCAGCUUUACUUCGAGGCAAUGUAAAUAAUGACUGAUAAGCAGCAACUGUCCAAGAACACCAGGUAAUUGAUUACCUGAAGAAAAUACCUUAAAAGCCUGCAGUCACUGAGUGAGCAUUCCUGGUAGCAGCUGCUGCCUCCUCCUGGAGUGAGCAGCUGUGCAGGAGGGGUAUUGCAGACCAGCUGAGGAGGAUGUUCCUCGUUCCUGCAAAGCACUUCUGAGAGUCCCAGCUAUUCUCCCCUUGGCUGUGUCAGUGCUGGCUUUCUGCUAGAAGUGAGACUUCUUGAAGUAUCUUAAUUGUGACCAUCUGGAGGGUUCUUUGCCCCUGGGAGAGGGUAUUGGUCAGAGGGGGCUCUCCUGUUAUGGGACUGCAGCUUUCCCAUGAAGAAAGCCUCUCCCACCACUCCAAGUGCCUUCUCGUCAAGUCCCAAGAGUUGCCUUGUGGAGCAUCUUCUUCUGUCCCAGACUCCAGUGACAGGAAGAAAUGAUCCAAGUUCCUCUGACCUUGCCUUCAGUCCACAAAGCAGGAUCCCAUUCAGUCAGUGCCCAAGAGCCAGGAUCCACAGCAGAGCUCUUCCACGAACUGCUCCCACACAAACGGGGCCGGGGCAGAAAAGAGCUUGGCUUUGUCCUGGGCACUGUCAGUGCUCAUCAAAACAACCACACGAUGGUGGUGUCUGCUCGAAAAAGAAGGAAACACACUGAGCAUGGCUCAAAAGCACCCGCCCAGGACACAGCCAAGUCGGAAACGGCCCUGCUCUCAAAUCAACUGUGUCAGGACAAAAACGUUUGGUGAUCUUCCCCUUCCAAGUGCACACUCUUCUUUGCACCCCCCUCAAAGGGCAACACGAACUCCUUUACCCAACAAAGCUUUUCACUCUCGAAGAGUGAAACUUCUAACAAACUUGAGAACAUCUGUCAAAAACAGAGCUCACAAAAGUGCCAGCUGAAAAAGCUCUUGCUGCCUACAUUUCAACUGCACCCAUCAAGCUAGCAGCACACACCCUGCUAUCAGCACUUUCCUUCUCAGCUCUAGGUACCAUCCUAAGCCUUCAGUCUCACAGUCAGGAUCCAAAUGGAGCAGCACCAGGGUCUGCUCACACACUAAGGCUAACAGGACAGAAAGUGGAACAGCUUGGUGUCUGCAUUCCCACUGACAGUUCAACAGCUCUAACCCAGAGAACUGCCUAUUGGGAAAAGUCUUUAAAUUCACUAGGCUCACCGAAAUGUGCAUCCAAACUUGCUUUCUUUGCCAAAGAGAGGAACUAGAAGCCCAUCUCAAGAGAAACGGCGUCCCCUCCUCCAAAAUACAAAGCUUCCAGUGACUGAUCCCAUACAAAAGUGCCAGAACACUGUUUACCUGCCCGGGGCACUAGAUCAGCUGCACACCAAGCCUCAGUGUAGCUGCUUACCUUGUCCAAAAGAAGUGUGCUUCCAGAAUUACAAGAAGGUCACCUCUGAGAAGUGGGAACUACAUGCCAAGUUGAAUCUUUCAGGAGACAACCUUCCAAAGAUGGAUACUGACUCCAUAAUAAUACACACUGAAGCAGUGCUUCCACACCAAAUAUGCCAGGACAGAAAGUUGCUGCUGCUGUUGACCUGCACAAUGCAGCUUCUUAUCUGCACCUCCAACACUUGGGUUACAUGCUUUCCUUCCCAUGAAAAAGCAUUGCCAUUCUCAUUCAGGAACUUGGCAAGCAGAAGUUGCAUACCACGUCUCCAGUAUUGAACAUGUCCAACAAUGGCUCCUACACAGAAGGAGCCAGGACAGAAAUGUUUUGCUGGACUAUACCUUCCCAUGGUCCCUUGACAUCUGCCCUACCAACACUGGCACUAUGUCCUUUGCUUCCCAAGGAAAAGCACUCUGAGGCUCCCGGCCAUGCCUUGCCUUCAGUACCUUGCCUAGUUUUCCCAGCCUGCCCUGGCUUUGCUUGCCUUGCCUACGUCAGUCUUGCCUCGCCCUACCCAGAGCUUCCUGGCUUUGCUUUGCCUUGCCUACCACUCCUUGCCUUGCCUUCCACGCAGGCAAGGCACUGCAAACCAAGGGCAGGCAACUGUUGGCAAGUCAAGGUACAGGUGGGCAAGGUCAGAGAAGAGGGGAAAGCAGAUGGAGUGGUAGGCAGGAGCAGGCCCAGAAGGGGCAAGGCUGGGCACAGGAGGGUAAGCCCACUGAAGGGUAAGACAGACAGAAACAGGAAGGGCUAGGCAAGGCAAGGCCCUGGAGGAAAACAGAAGGCAGGUCAAGGGUGGGGCAUUCAAGGGAGUGUGAGGCUAGGGAGGGUUUGCAGGGUAAGGCAAGGAGACUGUUGGGAUUCCCAAGGCAAGGCAAAUGAGAUGUGCCUUCAAGAAUUGCUGGCAUACAAAAACAGCCAGCCACAAAAUGCUCUGUCUGGCCUUGAUCCCACAUGGGCUGUCUCUAAUCUGCACCUAAAGCACCUGGGCCACCUGCUUUCCUGUGUAUGCAAAAGAACUGUUAUUCUGGUCCCAGAGCCCAAGAGCGAAAUUUGGGUUGCCUGUCCAGUAUUUAACACAUGCAAGUUCUGAUCCCACACCAAAAAAGCCCAGAAAGGCAGAUCUGGCUGCCUGGGACCUCCCCAUGACUUCUUCUCACAUGCUUCUGGAGCACUGGGGUUAUUGAUCAGCCUUGGGAGUCCUCAGGGGAGCAGGCAGGGCAGGACAGGGCUGGGACAUACCCAGAGAAAUGGGGUCUUGGAUUCCAGGUGAGGGAGGAGUGAGCAAAGCAACAGAAGGCAAGGCAGGGGUUCAAAGGCAAGGCAAGACAAUCAGUGACUUUGCAAGGAAACAAAAGAAAGAGGUAGGCAAGGCAAUUGAGUCUUAGAAGGAGAAGGAAGGAAAAAAAGGGUUGACCUGGACAAGUGGGAAGGGAAGUCAGGUGGAGGAUGAGUGAGCAAGUCAAUACAAAACAGUGGAGGGAAGGAAGGCUAAGGGAAGGCUACAGACUGCACAGCAAGGCAAAGAAAAGGAAGGGACAGGAAAGGCAAGGAAAUGCAAACAAGGUGAAGGCCUGGAGGUAAGGCUCUGGAGGAAAGCAGUAGGCAGGUCAAGGCUGGGGAAUGGGUGUGCAAGAGAAUGCAAAGCAAGGGAGGAUCAGCAGGGCAAGGCAAGGAGACUUGGGGUGCCAAGGCAAGGCAAGUGGCAGGUACAUUCAAGGAUUGCUGGUACACAAAAGCAUCCAGGACAGACUGCUCUGUCUGGCCUUGAUCUCACAUGGCCAUCUCUAAUCUGCACUUAAAACACUUGGGCUACCUGCUUUCCCAUGUGUGCAAAAGAACUGUCAUUCUGGAGCCCAAGGGCAAAAUGUGAAUUUUGUGUCCAAAAUUGGAGACAUACAAGGGUGGGUGCCAGAACAAAGCUGCCAGGACAGAUGGGUGUGCUUGCACGUGACCUCCUCUGGGCUUCCUCUCAAGUGCUCUUGAAACACUGGAAGUAUGUGAAGGCCUUGAGAGUCCUAGGAGGAGCAGGCAGGGAAAGGCAAGUUGAAGAAAUUCCACAAAAAGAGGGGUGUUGAAUUCUAGGUGGAGGAUGGGAACACAAGGAGCUGGAUUGGGAGGAAGGGCAAAGGAAGGAUAUGGAUGGGUCAGGAAAGUAAAGUAAAGGAAAGGAAUGGUCAGGAAUGGUGAGGAAGUGCAAGGCUGGGUAGGAAAGGUGAGGCAAUGUAAAGGGAGAUAGGCAGCAUGGUGGGUGUCUCAGAGGAAAAGUCCAUGCAUGGCAAGGCCAAGAGAAAAGUGGUACAGAAGUCAAGGUGGGGGAUCAAAGUCAAAGUGAGGAUCACCAGGAUGUCUGGCAGAGUUUCUAGGCUGCAAGGGGCAGGUGAAGACCAGGCCUGGCUUUUGGCUGUGGGACUUAUUGCAAGGAAGCAGCUGCUGAUGCAUUAGAAAUUGGAUGUUUUAUGAAUUAGGAAAAUAAAUCUCAUAUUCCUAUAGGCACAAGUGCAUGAAUGUAUACAUUGUAUCUUAAUUAUCUGGUCUUCUGGGGGUGUUAGACUUUUUAAGGAGGUUUUAAUCAGGGAUCAGUUCUCAUGUCAGGGUUUGGGUCUUGACUUAACUAUCUGUGGGACUCCAUAUGGAUUUAUUAUCCUAAAAAUAGAGUAUUAUACCCUAGUCAGAUAUUAUUUUGAGAUUGUUUGGCUGCUGCACUGCAAAUUAAAUGAAGUGUGUUUAAAAGGAAUUUAAAUAAAACGUGUUUUGGAAAAGGAGAACACCUAUUUUAGUAUUUAAGUGUCCUCAAAGAUGUUGGCAGGAGUAAUUUCUCCUUUGCACAUGUAAAACAUUGGUUCACAUAUGCCAUUAUAACAUACACUCCUUUCAAGGAUAUGGUACACAUAUGCUCUUUUCAAGCUGAGUAUUAUACUGGGAUACAGCAAAAGUCAAAUUUAAGAUAGUAAACUGGAAGAAACCCUAUUUUGUAGUGCAUAAAAUGCACCUCUGGAAUUGUCAGUUCUUCUUUUCUGCAGUGUUACAAAUACCUUUAUAAAAGGUGUCAUGGCUAAUGAGCUAAAAAAACACAACCCUAAAAAGAGAAAAAAAAAAGGCAACCAAAAACCCGCUGGCUGUGGUAUGUUCAUUUCAUGUUUGUGGUUAAUAUUUCCCAGCCUGCUUCAAGGUGAGGGUAAGUUCAGUCAUCACACCGCCUCUUGUCAGUCUGCUGAUGUUUCUAAAUUACUCUGAUAAAAGACUGUGAAAAAUGAACCUGUGGUAAAUUGCAUCAUCCCUGUUAUGUGUGCUCAGAUGGGGACACAACACAGAGCCCUCUGUUCAGGUCACACUCAGCACCCCCACAGGGGGCAAUCCCAGGUGCUCUGCUGUGAUUUACCCAAAUGUCCCUGCAUUUCCUGCAGCUGUGCUGCUUUCCUCCUCUGCACUACAAAUCUGGCAUCAGCUCAUGGUCGUGAAGGCACCAGAUUUCUCUUUGAUGGGAGGUAAAAAGAUGCUCUGGGUGGAAGCCCUCAGCCACUGAGCACAGGACCCCCAGCAGCUCCCAGUGUCCAGUGGUGUGAGGCUUUGAAUGGGGGACUUUGAAGUGUUCCAGGCCAGCUU